rnacentral:rRNA from 1 species
CUCGGGACCCGGUUUGAAACACGGACCAAGGAGUCUAGCAUGUGCGCGAGUCAUUGGGACUCUGAUAAACCUAAAGGCGCAAUGAAAGUGAAGGUCCGCCUCGCGCGGACCGAGGGAGGAUGGGUCCGUUCUCGAACGGGCCCCGCACUCCCGGGGCGUCUCGUUCUCAUCGCGAGAUGAGGCGCACCCAGAGCGUACACGCUGGGACCCGAAAGAUGGUGAACUAUGCCUGGUCAGGACGAAGUCAGGGGAAACCCUGAUGGAGGUCCGUAGCGAUUCUGACGUGCAAAUCGAUCGUCGGAACUGGGUAUAGGGGCGAAAGACUAAUCGAACCUUCUAGUAGCUGGUUCCCUCCGAAGUUUCCCUCAGGAUAGCUGGCGCUCGCAUUGCGAGUCUCAUUCGGUAAAGCGAAUGAUUAGAGGCAUUGGGGUCGAAACGGCCUCAACCUAUUCUCAAACUUUAAAUGGGUGAGAUCUCCGGCUUGCUUAAAGCGUGAAGCCGCGAGAUUAUUCGGAUCAAUGAGUGCCAAGUGGGCCACUUUUGGUAAGCAGAACUGGCGCUGUGGGAUGAACCAAACGCCGAGUUAAAGCGCCAAAAUCGACGCUUAUGGGGUACCAUGAAAGGCGUUGCUAACUUAAGACAUCAGGACGGUGACCAUGGAAGUCGGAAUCCGCUAAA